UGCGCGUAGGUGCUGCUAGGAGGCACACCCCCGACGUUCGAGGGGGAGGCCGGGGGUUCAAAUCCCCCACGCGCAGC
rnacentral:tRNA from 1 species